GCAGUCGAGCGCAGGAAGCUCACGGAACUCUUCGGAGGGAAGUGAAGGGAAUGAGCGGCGGACGGGUGAGUAACACGUAAGGAACCUGCCCCAAGGAUUGGGAUAACUCCGAGAAAUCGGAGCUAAUACCGAAUAGUUCUUCAGACCGCAUGGUCUGAUGAUGAAAGGCGCUCCGGCGUCACCUUGGGAUGGCCUUGCGGUGCAUUAGCUAGUUGGUGGGGUAAUGGCCCACCAAGGCGACGAUGCAUAGCCGACCUGAGAGGGUGAUCGGCCACACUGGGACUGAGACACGGCCCAGACUCCUACGGGAGGCAGCAGUAGGGAAUCUUCCACAAUGGACGAAAGUCUGAUGGAGCAACGCCGCGUGAGUGAUGAAGGUUUUCGGAUCGUAAAACUCUGUUGUAAGGGAAGAACAAGUACGAGAGGUAAUGCUCGUACCUUGACGGUACCUUGCGAGAAAGCCACGGCUAACUACGUGCCAGCAGCCGCGGUAAUACGUAGGUGGCAAGCGUUGUCCGGAAUUAUUGGGCGUAAAGCGCGCGCAGGCGGCCUUUUAAGUCUGAUGUGAAAGCCCCCGGCUCAACCGGGGAGGGUCAUUGGAAACUGGAAGGCUUGAGUACAGAAGAGAAGAGUGGAAUUCCAUGUGUAGCGGUGAAAUGCGUAGAGAUGUGGAGGAACACCAGUGGCGAAGGCGACUCUUUGGUCUGUAACUGACGCUGAGGCGCGAAAGCGUGGGGAGCAACAGGAUUAGAUACCCUGGUAGUCCACGCCGUAAACGAUGAGUGCUAGGU
rnacentral:rRNA from 1 species